rnacentral:rRNA from 1 species
GUAGUCCACGCCGUAAACGUUGGGCGCUAGGUGUGGGUCCCAUUCCACGGGGUCUGUGCCGCAGCUAACGCAUUAAGCGCCCCGCCUGGGGAGUACGGCCGCAAGGCUAAAACUCAAAGGAAUUGACGGGGCCCCGCACAAGCGGCGGAGCAUGCGGAUUAAUUCGAUGCAACGCGAAGAACCUUACCAAGGCUUGACAUGCACGGUAAUCCGGUGGAGACAUCGGGUCCGUAAGGGAUCGUGCACAGGUGGUGCAUGGUUGUCGUCAGCUCGUGUCGUGAGAUGUUGGGUUAAGUCCCGCAACGAGCGCAACCCUCGUUCUAUGUUGCCAGCGCGUGAUGGCGGGGACUCAUAGGAGACUGCCGGGGUCAACUCGGA